rnacentral:rRNA from 1 species
GACGAACGCUGGCGGCGUGCUUAACACAUGCAAGUCGAGCGGAAAGGCCCUUCGGGGUACUCGAGCGGCGAACGGGUGAGUAACACGUGAGUAACCUGCCCUUCACUUUGGGAUAACCCUCGGAAACGGGGGCUAAUACCGGAUAUGACAUGGGAUCGCAUGGUCUUGUGUGGAAAGUUUUUCGGUGGGGGAGUGGGCUCGCGGCCUAUCAGCUUGUUGGUGGGGUGAUGGCCUACCAAGGCGACGACGGGUAGCCGGCCUGAGAGGGCGACCGGCCACACUGGGACUGAGACACGGCCCAGACUCCUACGGGAGGCAGCAGUGGGGAAUAUUGCACAAUGGGCGGAAGCCUGAUGCAGCGACGCCGCGUGA